UUCCUUCAUAUUUUGCAGAGAUGAUCCUUCUCCACAGGGCAUUUAUUUCGUUUUGGUACCUUUACAACCAUUUGCAAAGCAAGGCAUAAUUUGUAUGUUUGAUCCUUUUUAUAACUAGGCUUCCUUUGUGUUCUGGAGUUGUGACUAAAGACCAUUUGGCCAAGUGAGAUUAAGGGGGUUUCCCAUGUACAAAGUAGAAGAAUGGGCAGUAAACUGAAGUUUGAACUUGAGAGAUUUCUCAGUUUUGAUUUGUGUUCUUCUCCCUAUACUCAAACAAAUAAACACAGAGGACACUGAGCUAGAAACAGAGGCCAUGAUGCAUAAAGUAUCAUCGGAACUUGAGAUUCUUGGAAGACAUCAGCACCCUAAUCUAACUGGUCCAUUCUUAAAGGUCACUUCUGAAUUAUGCAUAUCCACUUUGUGCUAAGGUUUGCAAUAAUUAAUGACUUUCUGUUGAGAGGUCUAUAGUACUUUGCAUUGCUGUAAGAUUUUUGUUAUUAUGACCAUUCUAUUGAGUAUCUUUGCUCAUUGAGCUCUUUGGUGAGCUUUUGGACUCCUUUGGGUGGG